rnacentral:tRNA from 2 species
GCAUUUGUAGCUCAGCAGGUAGAGCAAUCUCUUGAUAAGGGAUGGGUCACUGAUUCGAAUUCAGUCAGAUGCACCA